CCCCGGCACAAGCGGUGGAGCAUGUGGUUUAAUUCGAUGAUACGCGAGGACCUUACCUGGGCUCAAAUGUAUGUUGACGUAUUCUGAAAGGGAUACUUCUUCGGACAAUAUACAAGGUGCUGCAUGGUUGUCGUCAGCUCGUGCCGUGAGGUGUCGGGUUAAGUCCCAUAACGAGCGCAACCCCUAUCAUUAGUUGCCAUCAGGUCAAGCUGGGGACUCUAAUGAAACUGCCUACGCAAGUAGUGAGGAAGGUGGGGAUGACGUCAAAUCAGCACGGCCCUUACGUCCAGGGCUACACACGUGCUACAAUGGCCGGUACAAAGGGCAGCUACCUGGUGACAGGAUGCUAAUCUCAAAAGCCGGUCUCAGUUCGGAUUGAAGUCUGCAACUCGACUUCAUGAAGCUGGAAUCGCUAGUAAUCGUGGAUCAGCCAAGCCGCGGUGAAUACGUUCCCGGGCCUU
rnacentral:rRNA from 1 species